rnacentral:rRNA from 1 species
GAUGAACGCUAGCGGGAGGCCUAACACAUGCAAGUCGAACGGGAUUGAGAGCUUGCUCUCAUGAGAGUGGCGCACGGGUGAGUAACGCGUAUGCAACCUGCCUUUAACAGAGGGAUAGCCCAUAGAAAUGUGGAUUAAUACCUCAUAGUCCUGAUUGACCGCAUGGUUUGAUCAGGUAAAGCCACCAGGCGGUUAGAGAUGGGCAUGCGUGACAUUAGCUAGUUGGUAAGGUAACGGCUUACCAAGGCUACGAUGUCUAGGGGUUCUGAGAGGAUGAUCCCCCACACUGGUACUGAGACACGGACCAGACUCCUACGGGAGGCAG